AGCGAACGCUGGCGGCAGGCCUAACACAUGCAAGUCGAGCGCCGUAGCAAUACGGAGCGGCAGACGGGAGAGUAACACGUGGGAACGUACCCUUUGGUUCGGAACAACCCAGGGAAACUUGGGCUAAUACCGGAUAAGCCCUCACGGGGAAAGAUUUAUCGCCGAAGGAUCGGCCCGCGUCUGAUUAGCUAGUUGGUGGGGUAACGGCCCACCAAGGCGACGAUCAGUAGCUGGUCUGAGAGGAUGAUCAGCCUCACUGGGACUGAGACACGGCCCAGACUCCUACGGGAGGCAGCAGUGGGGAAUAUUGGACAAUGGGCGCAAGCCUGAUCCAGCCAUGCCGCGUGGGUGAUGAAGGCCCUAGGGUUGUAAAGCCCUUUCGGCGGGGAAGAUAAUGACGGUACCCGCAGAAGAAGCCCCGGCUAACUUCGUGCCAGCCGCCGCAGUAAAAC
rnacentral:rRNA from 1 species